UACGGGGGGGGCAAGCGUUGUUCGGAAUUACUGGGCGUAAAGGGCUCGUAGGUGGCCAACUAAGUCAGACGUGAAAUCCCUCAGCUUAACUGGGGAACUGCGUCUGAUACUGGAUGGCUUGAGUUUGGGAGAGGGACGCGGAAUUCCAGGUGUAGCGGCGAAAUGCGUAGAUAUCUGGAGGAACACCGGUGGCGAAGGCGGCUACCUGGCCCAACAUUGACACUGAGGCCCGAAAGCGUGGGGAUCAAACAGG
rnacentral:rRNA from 1 species